GAAAUCCUCCCUAUUCACUCUUUCCGCUACCACCACUUUUCUCUUUCCUUCUCUUCACUCCCUUAAUAUCUAUGUAUCACUUCUUUCUUUAUGUAUACUCAUCCGUGUAGCAGUUUCCUUUAAUUAAUGGGUUUAGGGAUUGAUCGAGUUUUUUACGAAUAUUUAAGGAUUUUGCAGUUUAUGAUUUUGAAGGAAAAGAAAAAAGUAAAAGAAAUUAGGGAAAGGGGUGAUAAUAAAAUACGGGUCGCAUUUUGGUUUAUAGGUCAUUUUCUUCAAACUCAGUGAUAAGCACGUAAGUGCGACAUUUUUAUACCCACAUUUAUACUAGCUACGUCUGGAUAUUUAGCUAAUAAUGUUGUUAAGUCAUUUACAUGAAUUACAAGUGAAAUCUGUUCACCCGGAGAACUAAUGGCUUAGAAGCUUAAUCCGCGCUUGCAACUAGAUAACAUCUGUGGGCUGGCAAACCAACAAUUAUUGGGCUGCACCACCUUGCUAUUUCAUUUCCAGAGAUAUCAAUUCACAAAGAGUUUUCUUUGCUUCUUCAAGCAUGUGAGCCGCACAAGGGGGUAAAGAUAGAGGACGUGGCUUCAUUACAACCACAUUUCAUUAAUGGAUUGUCAGGCAUCGAGUAUAUUCUAUUCUUUUCUUUACCAUUUUCAUUUCGGACAGCUGCAAAUAAUAAGGUUAGAAGAGAAACGGUAAACAUUUACGGAUUCAAAGUUCGCAGAGUGAAGUCGAUGUUAGAAGAAUGGAUGUUGAUGUUGUUAGGUCAGUAAAGAAGAUAGGUAUUGUUACCAGGGAUUUGAGAGACUAUUUAGGUUUACGAAUGAAGGUCUGAGAUGGGUUUUGAGGAGAGUUCGAUGAUCUGAAAGCUGGGAACUACAGCAGCAACGGCGACUGAUCUGUGGGGUUUCUGAUGUGGCCUAGGAUUGAGCCCAAAUGGAACAUUAACUUGUGCUACAAUCAGUUGAUGGAAGAAGAACUGAAUGGAAUCAGGGGUUUUGUUCUUGCUUUCCAAAUUGGAGCUAAAUAUGGUGACUGUUGGGUAGUUCUGAGCAAUAAAGAAGAACAAAUCAGCGAGAAGAGCAAGGAGAAGAUGGUGCACGUUUGAAAUGAUGUUGAGCUCGAUUUAUGAUGUUUUGGGGUUGCGAUUCCAAUCAAUUUGGGGAUUUCUAAACCCAGAUUCGAAUUGGGUUUGUCUGAGCGAUUGACAGCGGCGAAGGCAACAGAUUUAGGGGUUAUGUUGGUUGAAUAUUGAAAUUGAGUUCUUAAUCUCAACUAAGAAAUGAAAAUAUAACAAGAUCUGUGUUGGUUUAAUUGGUCUUACGUGGGUCUGUGGCAAGUGGUGCUGAGAUGCUGGAGUUAUGGGUUCGAUCUACAUUUUCUACCUGGCUGUUUGAGAUGCGAAUGUCUAACUCAACUUGCAUCAAAAAUGGAUUACUUACGGUGGUUGUCUUUGAGAAUUGAUGCCAGGGUUUGAUGUGAAUGGAAUGUUGUUAACUAUCUACAACAUCAAAGGAUUUGUGGGGUUCUCAUCCGAAUCAAAUUGGCGUUGCUGCUGAUAUUUGGAGAAGAAAUAGAGUUCGAAUUCAGGGUUGGUGGUCAACUGAGUUUGAUGGUUGUUGGUUUGUACAUUUAGAAGACACUGUAGAAGAUGGGGGAGUAUAUGUUAGCUGAAAUCGUUCAGUUUUGUAGUGUGUUGUUUGGCCGAGAUGGACAGGGAAGUGGAGUGAACAGAAGUCUUCACCAAAUCUUCAUGUGAUCUCAACAGCCGUGUCUAUCAACUGAAUCCGAAGAAGUCAACAACUGAUUGCGGCUAUCUUUAGGCAGAAACAGGAGGAAGACCAAAUGAAGAGAUGAAUACGGGUUGGUUCAGGUCUUUUUGGCAUAACGAUAGGACUAAUUAGUUGAGCUAGAAGUCAGAGAACAAGUCACGGCAGAUGUACAUAAAGGAGCACAACAGUCAACCAAGAAGGAUACGAUUAAAUACCGCAAUCUUAAUUUUAUUUUGCUUUCUAUUGAGUUCAGUUCUUUUUAGUUCUCGUGGGUGUUAGAGUUUUUUAUUCAAUACUUUUAAUGGCUAUCUACACAACAAUGAGAAGCUAAACCCCUCUCUCCCAAGACUAGAGGGGAAGCUUAAUGGGUUCAAGUAUUCUUUACAGUGAUCAUAAAUAAAUUCCAAGUUUUAAUCCA